AUUCAGCAUCAAGAGUCGGUUUAUCCGACGCCAACCUGCCUUACCCGGGCAAGGUGGAAGCCAUCACGGCGAUGCGGCCUAUUAACGGCAACGAAGCGGGCGCGA
rnacentral:ncRNA from 2 species